rnacentral:rRNA from 1 species
UACGUAGGGUGCGAGCGUUGUCCGGAAUUAUUGGGCGUAAAGGGCUCGUAGGCGGUUUGUCGCGUCGGGAGUGAAAACCCAGGGCUUAACCCUGGGCUGGCUUCCGAUACGGGCAGACUAGAGGUAUGCAGGGGAGAACGGAAUUCCUGGUGUAGCGGUGGAAAUGCGCAGAUAUCAGGAGGAACACCGGUGGCGAAGGCGGUCUCUGGGCAUUGACCUGACGCUGAGGAGCGAAAGCGUGGGUAGCGAACAGG